rnacentral:lncRNA from 1 species
GAGCCAUGGCUUGUGUCCCAGGUGAGGCCCCAGCAGAGGGCUCUCAGGAUGGUAAUGCGAGGACUCUGUAGGUCUCCUAAUUUCUUUCACCGCCUCACUGAGCCUUUCUUCCCCUUAGGUAAACCCAGUUCACUCAGGCAGAAGCAAGAGGAAGAACAUUCCUCCAGCUCCUCCUCAUGCAGGCCCGAGAGGUGGGAGGGCAUUCUGCCAGCCCAGUAUAUCCACUUUGCUUCGACAAAUGUCAGCCUGCCCAGAAUAAGGAAGUACCCACAGCCGGGAAAGGUAAAUCCAAACCCUGAAAAGACAGAUACUGAGCAUUUGAAAUAACACAGCUUGCAGCGUCCUUGCGGAGCCCUGUUUAUGGGGCAAUAAACCAUUUAAACGACUGUGUGUUGGAACCCACAAGGUCGCCUUGAAAGGCUUUUCACAGACACUGCUAGUAGGGCUCCAGGACGUCUGGAGGGCCAGGAUGGGGUGUCUUUUUGGCUUCUGCUUGAAGCUGCUGGUUCCCCUCCAUCAGGAACGCCAGCCCCUGGAGAGGCUGCCAUGAGAAAGCCAGUUUCCACGUAAAGAAAUCUAAGCAACUUGCUAGGGAGGCCACAUGGAGACAGUGAAACCCCAGAGGAUGAGAAACCACUUGAAAAAGAGCGAAGGCACCCAGUGGACAGCCAGCACCCGCCGCCGGAUGUGAAUGAGGCUGUCUUGCAUUCCUAAGAUGCUGCAGCUGACAUGAGGUGAAGCAAAGAUGAGUGUCCCAGCUGAGCCUGGCCAAGCUCCUGACUCACGGAAUCCUGAAAAAUAAAUGGUUGUCAUUUUAUGUUGUUA